AUAAAAUAGAAAAAUAACCUUAAUUUAAUCAAGUAACAUAUGUGCCUACAAAAAUACCAUAUACAGUUCCACAGUGGAAGUAGUUAAGAAAUAUGUUAAUUCUGUACAAGAAUUGCUAAUGUACACAAUUCCAUCUGAAAUUACAGGCUUUUAGUUGCACAAUGUAUUCAUUCUUUUGCAACAAGAGAACACCUACACAGUUGCUUAUUCUGCCAGAAAUAGCAGUCAAAUCUCUAAUAUAUUAAUAACACAUAUUAAUAGCCUGUUAGUUUUGUCACAAUAAAUAAAUAAAUAAAAAGGCCAAGCAAUAAAAAAGGUAUACAAACUUCCAUUUAGUUAUCUAGAGAUAGCAACUUCUCUCUCUCUCUCUCUUUCUCUCUCACUGUCUCCCUCUCUUUCAAAACACUCUGUGCUGCCAUUUAAAGGUUCACAUUAGAUAAUGUAGUCCUAGAUACACAAUGCAUGAAAAAAGACAGGAUUGUCAUGGAUGGAAUGAUUUUGAUCAUAGGUCUGCUUCAUCAGAGCUGGCCUGGAACUAAACAACUUUCAAUAAUCAGAUAAAAAAAUUCAUUUAGAUCAAAACUUUUCAAAUAUUUGCUCACUUUCAGCAGUCUGUCUCUCUUUCUCUCCCCCCUCUCUCUCUCUCUCUGUCUUGCUCUGUCUGUCUCUCUUUCUCUCUCCUGCAAUCAAAAUCUAUAGCCUAGAGAGGAAGCAUGUACACAUCAAGGGACACAACCUCUUCCCUUUAUCCAUUUCUUGAUGUUACUCAACUACAUCAUUCAUAGUCUUCUCUUUAAAUGGUGAGUUAAAAGUAGGAUAUCAUGACUCCUUAAAAGUUUAUGGCACUUCCUCUCUUCCCAUCAAUCUUAGGGGACCUGAAAAAUGCUCAGGGCCACAAUGCUCAUCCUCCUCUAGAAGGUAUACUCAUUAAUUACUGGGCUGAAAUUCCAUUUUGUAUGAAUGCACAUAGGCAAAACUGCUGUUGAUGUGAUUUUUGACAAAAUUAUGUUACAUUUGUCCAUAGUUAAAAAAAAAAAAUCAGGACCCAUAGUAGAAAUGCUUUCAAACUUAUUACAGGCAUAUCUGCAAUAACAAAGUGAUUUUGCUCGAGGUCAAAUCAAUGACCCGUAUGUAUGUAAGGGUAGAUGCAUGCAUGUGUAUGCAUUGAAGAAGGCAAGCCACAGGAGUUGAUUACAAAACGACUAUGAUCAAUGUCAAGAAGAAUAUUGAGUGACGCCUAGUAAAUAGUUGGUCUAGCAAGUAGCACCUCAUCUCAGUGAGGUGGGGCUGGUAGUAAUAAUGCUGGUGAGGAACAACCCAAAACAGCUCAAAGAAUCUCCUGAUGAUCCCACAAUCCUGCUAGUGUCCAAUAUGCAGAGCUUUCAACUUGUAGCGCUUGUAUCCUCGAUUUACUUGCUGAAAGAAGCCUGUGUUAUGCGUGUGUAUGGUUUUUUCUUCACCAUUGCUUGACAAACGGUGCUGGUUUGUUUUCAUCCCUGUAACUUAUCAGUUUGGCAAAAGAGACCAAGAGAAUAAGUACUGGGGUUGAUUUGUUCGAUUAAACCCUUCAAGGUGAUGCCCUAAAGUGGCCAAGGACUAAAACAAAAAGAAGAUAAAAGAUACGGAUUUACUAGCAAAAUUUUCAUGUUGGAUUACUAACACAAUUCUCUACGUUUUGAAAAUUUUGUGCUUCUUUUUAUGAAAUUGAUCUGGUAAACCUGAUUACAAAGACAAGUACACACACACACAUGUAGUUUCUCUAACAUAGAAAACAAUUUAUUAUACACAUUCAUACAUAUGUGUUUCUCUCAUGAACACACAUUCAAAUACUCAUAUAUAUAUGUAUGUAUACGAAGGCACUGUUAUCCUUAUAAAGCACUCACACAUGUACGCGAGGGCUUUUCUAAUAAACGCAUAUGCACAUAUGUACAA